GACGAACGCUGGCGGCGUGCCUAACACAUGCAAGUCGAACGGAAAGGCCCUGUUCCUGUGGGGCGCUCGAGUGGCGAAUGGGUGGGUAACACGUGAGUAACCUGCCCCUGACUUUGGGAUAACACCAGGAAACUGGGGCUAAUACCGGAUAGGAGCUCCUGCUGCAUUGUGGGGGUUGGACAGUUUCGGCGGUUGGGGAUGGACUCGCGGCUUUUCAGCUUGUUGGUGGGGUAGUGGCUUACCAAGGCUUUGACGGGUAGCCGGCCUGAGAGGGUGAACGGCCACAUUGGGACUGAGAUAAGGCCCAGACGACUACGGGGGGCAGCAGUGGGGAAUAUUGCACGAUGGGCGGAAGCCUGAUGCAGCAACGCCGCGUGCGGGAUGACGGCCUUAGGGUUGUAAACCGCUUUCGCCUGUGACGAAGCGUGAGUGACGGUAAUGGAUAAAGAAGCACCGGCUAACUACGUG
rnacentral:rRNA from 1 species